rnacentral:rRNA from 1 species
UACGGGGGGAGCAAGCGUUGUUCGGAUUUACUGGGCGUAAAGGGCGCGUAGGCGGUCAGCACAAGUCAGUUGUGAAAUCUCCGGGCUUAACUCGGAAAGGUCAACUGAUACUGUGCGACUAGAGUGCAGAAGGGGCAACUGGAAUUCUCGGUGUAGCGGUGAAAUGCGUAGAUAUUGGGAAGAACACCGGUGGCGAAGGCGGCUCUCUGGACCGAGACUGACGCUGAGGCGCGAAAGCGUGGGGAGCAAACAGG